CCUACGGGUGGCAGCAGUGGGGAAUAUUGCACAAUGGGGGAAACCCUGAUGCAGCGACGCCGCGUGAGUGAAGAAGUAACUCGUUAUGUAAAGCUCCAUCAGUAGGGAAGUAAAUGAUGGUACCUGUGUUAGUAGCUACGGCUAACUUCGUGCCAGCAGCCGCGGCAAUACGUAGGGUGCCAGCGUUAUCCGGAUUUACUGGGUGUUAAGGGAGCGUAGACGGCAGUGCAAGUCUGGAGUGAAAGGCGGGGGCUCAACCCCCGGACUGCCCUGGAAACUGUACGGCUGGAGUGCAGGAGAGGUAAGUGGAAUGCCUAGUGUAGCGGUGAAAUGCGUAGAUAUUAGGAGGAACACCAGUGGCGAAGGCAGCUUACUGGACUGUAACUGACGUUGAUGCUCGAAAGCGUGGGGAGCAAACAGGAUUAGAUACCCGGGUAGUC
rnacentral:rRNA from 1 species